rnacentral:rRNA from 1 species
AUUCCAGCUCCAAUAGCGUAUAUUUAAGUUGUUGCAGUUAAAAAGCUCGUAGUUGGAUUUCGGUUAAGAGCGACCGGUCCGCCGUUUGGUGUGCACUGGUUGGUUUUAACUUCCUGUAGAGGACGUGCUCUGGGCUUAACGGUCUGGACUCGGAGUCUACGUGGUUACUUUGAAAAAAUUAGAGUGUUCAAAGCAGGCGUCGGCUUGAAUACAUUAGCAUGGAAUAAUGGAAUAGGACUUUGGUUCUAUUUCGUUGGUUCCGAACACCGAAGUAAUGAUUAACAGGGACAGUCAGGGGCACUCGUAUUCCGCCGAGAGAGGUGAAGUUCUCAGACCAGCGGGAGACGAACCACUGCGAAAGCAUUUGCCAGGGAUGUUUUCAUUA